GACGAACGCUGGCGGCGUGCUUAACACAUGCAAGUCGAACGGAAAGGCCCUGCUUUUGUGGGUUGCUCGAGUGGCGAACGUGUGAGUAACACGUGAGUAACCUGCCCUUUACUUUGGUAUAUCUUCAGGAAACUGGGUCUAAUACCGUAUAGGAGCUCCUGCUGCAUGGUGUUGUUUGGAAAUUUUCGGCGGUUGGGGAUGGACUCGCGGCUUAUCAGCUUGUUGGUGGGGUAGUGGCUUACCAAGGCUUUGACGGGUAGCCGGCCUGAGAGGGUGAACGGACACAUUGGGACUGAGAUACGGACCAGACUACUACGGGAGGCAGCAGUGGGGAAUAUUGCACAAUGGGCGGAAGCGUGAUGAAGCAACGCAGCGUGCGGGAUGACGGCCUUCGGGUUGUAAAACGAAUUAGAAUGUGAAGAAGAGUGAGUGACGGUAAUGGGUAAAGAAGCACCGGCUAACUACGUG
rnacentral:rRNA from 1 species